GUGAAAUUGUUGAAAGGGAAACGUUUGACACCAGUCAUGCGGGUGGGAAAUCAGUCAAUUGCAGUGGGGAGUGGUGGAGGUUCGGACCGCAAGGCCGGCCUGUGCCUCAUCUCUGCUGUAAGUGAUGCACUUUUCCAUCGGCAGGUCAACAUCAGUUUCUUCUGCUGGACAAAACUCCGAGAGAAGGUAGCAGCUUAGGCUGUGUUAUAGCUCUGGAGCGAUACAGUGGUGGGGACUGAGGUUUUCGCAGUGUGUGCUUUCGGGCAAGGCUGACCGGGUGCUAUGGGAUCGUUCAGUGUACAAUGCAUGCAUUUUGCGCUGUGUCUUUUCUAUACUCGCCUGGCUCGGCUCUUCCACACUUAGGAUGUUGACUUAAUGGUUUUAAACGACCCGUCUUGAAACACGGACCAAGGAGUCUAACAUAUAUGCAAGUGUUUGGGUGGCAAACCCAUACGCGUAAUGAAAGUGAACGUAGGUGCGAUCCGCAAGGUGCAGCAUCGACCGAUCUUGAUAUUUUUGGAUAGAUUUGAGUAAGAGCAUAUAUGCUGGGACCCCAAAGAUGGUGAACUAUGCCUGAAUAA
rnacentral:rRNA from 1 species